rnacentral:rRNA from 1 species
UACGUAGGGUGCGAGCGUUGUCCGGAAUUAUUGGGCGUAAAGAGCUUGUAGGCGGUUUGUCGCGUCUGCUGUGAAAAUCCGGGGCUCAACCCCGGACUUGCAGUGGGUACGGGCAGACUAGAGUGUGGUAGGGGAGACUGGAAUUCCUGGUGUAGCGGUGAAAUGCGCAGAUAUCAGGAGGAACACCGUAGCGGAAGGCGGGUCUCUGGGCCAUACUGACGCUGGAGGAAGCGA